rnacentral:misc_RNA from 1 species
CAUAGUAUGCCCACCAGAGUAGAUAAUCCCCCCGGCCAUACUAUGUUCUAUGUUGUUAUAGUUAAACGUUGACUUUCAGACGUCUCUGUUACACGUAUGAGGGUAACUAUUAUUAUUUUGUUAUGUACAUGUAGUUAAUAUAUUUUUCAGUAUCCUAACCUGUCGCAAUAGACUAUAUAUGUGUUCUUGGCUUGAAAAGUUAUUUUUUACAGGAAAAACUGUAUGUAGUUUGUACAUGUAUGCAGAACAAUGAUCAAAUAAAUUCAAGCC